rnacentral:rRNA from 1 species
CAGUCGCCACGGGAAUACGUAGGGUGCAAGCGUUAAUCGGAAUUACUGGGCGUAAAGCGUGCGCAGGCGGUUUUGUAAGACAGAGGUGAAAUCCCCGGGCUCAACCUGGGAACUGCCUUUGUGACUGCAAGGCUGGAGUGCGGCAGAGGGGGAUGGAAUUCCGCGUGUAGCAGUGAAAUGCGUAGAGAUGUGGAGGAAUACCGAUGGCGAAGGCAGCCCCCUGGGCCAAUACUGACGCCCAUGCACGAAAGCGUGGGGAGCAAACAGGAUUAGAUACCCGAGUAGUCCCUGUCUCUUAUAA